AGUCUGUCUUGGCAAAACUCCACAUGAGUCUGAAUCAGCUGACAUCACUCUGCCAAAUGGCCUGAGUCCACAGAAGUGACAAGAAGCCACCAGUACAUCACCUGGAAUUUUUUGGUGGGUUUCUGUCUACGAAGUCAUGACAAAUGGAGCCUCAGCAAUGCACAUAAGGACUCCACAACACCAUGAUGGGUACUGGUACCGGACAUGCGACCAGCCAUGCAAAAGGAGGGCAGAGACAAAGCCCCCUUCCCCUCAGACCUGGCUGAGGAGGUGGCACUUGUUAGAGGGUACUGAGAUCAAUUGGUGUGGCCCAUGGUUGUGUGGCUAUCCAGGAGCUAGGUACCCUACAGAAAAUCCCUGAGGAUCUUCAGGACAACUG